rnacentral:rRNA from 1 species
AACCCAGACUCCUACGGGAGGCAGCAGUGAGGAAUAUUGGUCAAUGGGCGGAAGCCUGAACCAGCCAAGUCGCGUGAGGGAAUAAGGCCCUACGGGUCGUAAACCUCUUUUGCCGGGGAGCAAGGGCCGGGACGAGUCCCGGUCCGGAGAGUACCCGGAGAAAAAGCAUCGGCUAACUCCGUGCCAGCAGCCGCGGUAAUACGGAGGAUGCGAGCGUUAUCCGGAUUUAUUGGGCGUAAAGCGUCCGCAGCCGGUUUAUUAAGUAUAGAAUAAAACUUCGGGGCUCAACCCCGUCUCGUUCUAUAAACUGAUAGACUAGAGUGUGGUAGAGGCAAGUGGAAUUUCUAGUGUAGCGGUAGAAUGCGUAGAUAUUAGAAGGAACACCAGUGGCGAAGGCGACUUGCUGGGCCAUCACUGACGGUCAGGGACGAAAGCGUGGGGAGCGAAUAGGAUUAGAUACCCCUGUACC